CCAGACUCCUACGGGAGGCAGCAGUGGGGAAUAUUGCACAAUGGGCGAAAGCCUGAUGCAGCAACGCCGCGUGAGUGAUGAAGUACUUCGGUAUGUAAAGCUCUGUCUUUGGGGACGAUAAUGACGGUACCCAAGGAGGAAGCCACGGCUAACUACGUGCCAGCAGCCGCGGUAAUACGUAGGUGGCGAGCGUUGUCCGGAAUUACUGGGCGUAAAGGAUGCGUAGGUGGACUUUUAAGUCAGAUGUGAAAUCCCCGGGCUUAACCUGGGGGCUGCAUUUGAAACUGGAGGUCUAGAGUGCAGGAGAGGUAAGUGGAAUUCCUAGUGUAGCGGUGAAAUGCGUAGAUAUUAGGAAGAACACCAGUGGCGAAGGCGACUUACUGGACUGUAACUGACACUGAGGCAUGAAAGCGUGGGGAGCAAACAGGAUUAGAUACCCUGGUAGUCCACGCUGUAAACGAUGGGUACUAGGUGUGGGAGGUAUCGACUCCUUCCGUGCCGCCGUUAACACAAUAAGUACCCCGCCUGGGGAGUACGGUCGCAAGAUUA
rnacentral:rRNA from 1 species